UGAAAUUAACCCAUAUAUCUGAGCUUGAGCACUAAUUGGAAGAAUAUGUGAGAUGAUAAGAGCCAUAUCAAAAGUUCAUAAAUUUAAGAUUGGGUAAUCAGGUCGGGUCUUACUAUUUCGAGCAAUAACGAGCUCUUGGAGCUCUAAGAUCUGACUGUUGAACCCGGCGAUCAACGAAUCCAACAACGCCUCUGCUUUUUCCACUCCCAUCUCACUCUCUCUUCACAAGAAAAAGACGAUGAAACACCAGAUAGAAAAUCAGUAUUGGUGGUGGGGAGAAGAGAGAGAGGACCUAUGCUAGUGGUGGUCGGAGAACGAGCUCGAGACCGCUCGGGUAUGAGAACGAGCUCGGGGCGGGUCAGGUUGGAGAACGAGGUCGACGCGAAGAAGGAGGCGCGCGUUGGAGUCAAAGUGAGAGUUAGUAAUUAGGGUUUGUAAGUUUUAGACAAAGUGAAAAAAUUGUAAGUGUUGGGGAAAUGAAUAUUUUGGUCCCCCCGCGUAUCUGAAAAUUUCAACUUAGUCCCUCCGCGUUUUUUUAAAUUUUUCGAAUGAAACUUUUCACAUCGGUUACUUUGGUGACUGAUGUCCAUAAUAACAAUAGAAAUUGGUUUUUUCACAAACUGAUGUUAACACGUUUUUUAACAUCAGGUGCAAUCCUGACCGAUUUAAUAGUGGCGAUAUCUAAUGACAUUAUUCUAGUAGUGCGUCUUGCUAUGAAAGACAACAUUUUCGUCUUGUUAUGUCCAACAAUUUUUUUUUGGAAUUAAUAUAUGAAUACUAAAGGAUUAUAACACCGAACUAAUAGAUAAAGCAAACAAAUUUGUAUCUAUAGAUCCAAAAUUAACAACAUGCAUGUAUCUAAACAUCUCUUUUACCUCAGAUGGUUGCGAUUGCGACGGCAGAGCCGGAGCAUCAUUUUCCUUCGUUUCCUGGAUGUAUUUGUAGAUCUAAAAUUAACAUAUGUUUGUGAUUGCUCUGGAGAUGACGGCAACGCCGCCGGAGCAUCAUUUUCCUUCGUUUCCUGUAUUUGUAAUCUAAAAUUAACAUACGGUUGCAGUUGCUCUGGAGCUGACGGUGCCUGGACGCUGGCUAUCUUUUCGACCGCAUUAACCUACCUGGUAAAUUCCGGAGCAGAAGUAUGGAACUUGAAGACGGCGUAAGAUCCGAAAGAAAACGUGGAGAUGACAUUGAACGUAGCUUUUUCCCUCUCACAGACGGUUCUGAACCUCGACCAGGUGAGCACAAGACUGGCUUUUUGACGAAAUUGCGGAAUUCUUCAGCGUGAUCGGAUGCAUUCUUGAUAAUCGUCCUCCAGCCCUCGCGCCCCGCCACCGUAAUUCUCUUCCACCCCUGGUGCCACGCCCCCAUUGCCCUCUAACUCAGUGCGGCUAAAACAGUAAAACCCUAACCGGACUAUAUAUAUAAAGGAAUCUACUCACAGACAUCUGUCUUUCUAACUGGGCUAAUGAGCCUGAUUUUAAGCCUUUGGCAUUUUUCUUCGACAAAGUAAGCCUUUGGCAUUUAAUAUCAUUUCACUUACCAUGUCUUGAAAUAAAUGGUUUUUUGUGAUGUGUUAUGACUUUCGAUUGUCUGAUAAAUUGAUUUGCAAGAUUUUUGAACUCUAAAAUAUUUCGAUGAGAUUCCUGCCUUGGUUUAAAAUAUUAAUUUAGUUAUGACCUAUCACUUCACUAAACCUUAUAAAUUUUGAUAUUGAUUACGAUUGGUAUUGAUGAACUUGAUCUGCAUUCAUCUAAAGAUAAGUUGGAUGCAAGAUUUAAUAUAAUUCUUCUAUAUAUUCUAUGGUUAAUAUAAUUCAUAGCCUACUUCACUUUUACAUAUGUCAGUAAGAAUUGAACCCAUGACCUUUACAAUAUUGGAAUUAACUUAUCAAC